GACGAACGCUGGCGGCGUGCCUAAUACAUGCAAGUCGAACGCAGUGGGGACGGGUAAGUAAAACGUGGGUAACCUCCCAUCAGACGGCAUAACACUUGGCAACAGGUGCUAAACCGAUACUGAUGGAUGGACCCGGGGGGCAUUAGCUAGUUGGUGAGGUAAAGGCUCACCAAGGCCACGAUGCAUAGCCGACCUGAGAGGUGGACCGGCCACACUGGAACUGAGACACGGCCCAGACUCCUACGGGAGGCAGCAGUAGGGAAUCUUGGGCAAUGGGCGAAAGUCUGACGGAGCAACGCCGCGUGAGUGAAGAAGGUUUUCGGAUCGUAAAGCUCUGUUGUUAGGGAAGCGGUAUUCACCCAGAAAGCCACGGCUAACUACGUGCCAGCAGCCGCGGUAAUAC
rnacentral:rRNA from 1 species